AUGAGUGUUUUCAAGCUCCCUGCCUCGGUAUGUGACGAAUUGACUCGUAUGAUACGUCAAUACUGGUGGGGAGUGGAGAACGGGAAGAAAAAGAUGGCCUGGAUGAGCUGGGACAAACUGAGGCUCCCUAAAUCCAUGGGUGGCAUGGGGUUUAGGGACAUGAGGUCUUUUAACCAAGCCUUGUUAGCAAAACAAGUGUGGCGAUUACUGGAUAUGCCGGAGAGCCUUUGUGCACGACUACUAAAGGCAAAAUAUUACCCUUCUGGACAUUUGUUGGAUACGGUAUUCUCGGGCAAUGGUUUUUCAGUUUGGAAAAGUAUUUUGCAUGGUCUCGAGUUGCUCAAGAAAGGUGUCAUUUGGAGGGUGGGGAACGGCGCUGAUAUCGGCACUUGGAGGGAUCCUUGGAUCCCCCGUCCAUCGACGUUUCGCCCUAUCUCACCGAAGGGCAAUUGCUGCUUGAACCGGGUGGCUGAUUUUCUUGAUGAAAACGGUGCUUGGCGUGUGGAUCGCCUUCGUGAGUUUUUUUGGCCUAUGGACGUGGAGUACAUAGUAAAAAUCAGAGCAUCGCCCCGUCAGCGUGGUGAUUUCUUGUCCUGGUUCCCGGAGAAAUGCGGAGUAUUCACGGUGAGGAGUGCUUACAAGCUAGCCACAUGUGAUCACAAUGUGUCCUUUGCAAAUGGAUCUUCCAGCUCAAACCCAGAGGGGAAUCGUUCACUAUGGAACCGAGUUUGGUUGGCCAAUGUGCCUCAAAAGAUG
rnacentral:rRNA from 1 species